AUACGGAGGGUGCAAGCGUUAUCCGGAUUCACUGGGUUUAAAGGGUGCGUAGGCGGGUAGGUAAGUCAGUGGUGAAAUCCUGGAGCUCAACUCCAGAACUGCCAUUGAUACUAUCUAUCUUGAAUAUUGUGGAGGUAAGCGGAAUAUGUCAUGUAGCGGUGAAAUGCUUAGAUAUGACAUAGAACACCCAUUGCGAAGGCAGCUCACUACGCAUAUAUUGACGCUGAGGCACGAAAGCGUGGGGAUCAAACAGGAUUAGAUACCCUGGUAGUCCACGCCCUAAACUAUGGAUACUCGACAUAUGCGAUACACUGUAUGUGUCUGAGCGAAAGCAUUAAGUAUCCCACCUGGGAAGUACGUUCGCAAGAAUGAAACUCAAAUGAAUUGGCGGGG
rnacentral:rRNA from 1 species